rnacentral:rRNA from 1 species
AACGUAGGAGCCAAGCGUUAUCCGAAUUCACUGGGCGUAAAGCGCGAGCAGGCGGCCUGGUAAGUUGGAUGUGAAAUCUCCUGGCUCAACUGGGAGAGGACGUACAAGACUGCCCGGCUAGAGGACGGUAGAGGGAGGUGGAAUUCCCGGUGUAGUGGUGAAAUGCGUAGAUAUCGGGAGGAACACCAGUGGCGAAGGCGGCCUCCUGGGCCGUUCCUGACGCUGAGAUGCGAAAGCUAGGGGAGCGAACGGG